AGAAAGGUGCCCGAGCGGUUUAAGGGGUCCGAUUGAUAAUCGGAUGCAGUAUGAAAAUGCUGCCGUGGGUUCGAAUCCCAUCCUUUUCU
rnacentral:tRNA from 2 species